GUUGCCCAUGUGUUGCCUCUGUGACUAUGUUGUCACAGUGGGUGUCAAACUGUGGCACACAUCAUCAUGCUGGUCUCCACACACUGCACAGCCCAGUGUACAGUGUACUAGUAUACUAGCUGACACU